rnacentral:rRNA from 1 species
AUUGAACGCUGGCGGCAGGCCUAACACAUGCAAGUCGAGCGGACGAAGGGAGCUUGCUCCUGGAUUCAGCGGCGGACGGGUGAGUAAUGAACAGGUAUCUGCCCGAUAGAGGGGGAUAACGUACGGUAAUGGGCGCUAAUACCGCAUCCGACAUGAGGGAGAACGUCAGGGAUCUUCGGAGCACAAGCUAUUAGAUGAGACUAGGUCGGAUUAGCUAGUUGGUGGGGUAAAGGCCUACCAAGGCGACGAUCCGUAACUGGUCUGAGAGGAUGAUCAGUCACACUGGAACUGAGACACGGUCCAGACUCCUACGGGAGGCAGCAGUAGGGAAUAUUACGCAAUGGGCGAAAGCCUGAUGCAGCCAUGCCGCGUGUGUGAAGAAGGUCUUCGGAUUGUAAAGCACUUUAAGUUGGGAGGAAGGAAAGUGAGUUAAUACCUUGCUGUUUUGACGUUACCAACAGAAUAAGCACCGGCUAACUUCGUG